UACGUAGGGCGCAAGCGUUGUCCGGAAUUAUUGGGCGUAAAGAGCUCGUAGGUGGUUUGUUGCGUCUGCCGUGAAAACCCGAGGCUUAACCUCGUGGCUUGCGGUGGAUACGGGCAGACUAGAGGUAGGUAGGGGAGAACGGAAUUCCCGGUGUAGCGGUGAAAUGCGCAGAUAUCGGGAGGAACACCGGUGGCGAAGGCGGGUCUCUGGGCUGACACUGACGCUCAUGCACGAAAGCGUGGGGAGCAAACAGG
rnacentral:rRNA from 1 species